UCAAAAGAUAUGCACACAAAAUCCACAUAAUAAUUGUAUGUUUCCAGCACUUUGUUAGGCAACAUGGUCUCUUCUUUCAACCUUGUUAGCUAGAUGAAAUUACUAGAUAACAGCCUAUCAGAGAACAGUAACAGCGGCAGGUAACCUGAGAUCAAGGGAUGUGCUUUAGAACAUAAGCCCCCCUAAACAGUGCAUAUAUAAUUAUCUCCCAGGUAUCCCCGAUUCUAACAGUUGCUCCACCCUCCUCUUUCUUCCUUUAUUCCCUGCUCUCUCUCAAGCUCCUCAAACUUUCCACUCCCCAGUCUCAACUGUAAUCGCCUGUCAGUGGGAGUGGGAAAAGGGAAGGAUGGGGAGGAAAUGAAGAAAACACAAGCAAGACUCCUCUUCUGAAGCUGUUGAAGUAACUUCUUAUCGAACACUCUACCCUAGGGCUGCCAGUUGGCAGUUGGAAGAAAAGGAAAAGCGAAGGGUAAAAAGAUGACAAGGUUAUCAGUCCAGAGAUAGAGUGAAGAUAUAAAAAGGCUACUCAGUGGUAGUAGUGACUCUGCGCUACCUCCUAGGCAGCCCAGUCCCACAGAGACCCAGCAGUUGGCCAGAAGGACUGUGUAUUGGCAGCUUUCACAAAAGUGGACUUCGUCAAGUCUGAAGAGUCUUCAAGUGUGAAACUUGGUGCACAAGCAUUUGUAUCACACCAUUUCAACACUAUUCCUAAUAUCAUAAAGCUGUUCAAUGUCCAAAAACUGGUGACUUACAAUGCACUUAAAAGGCACUCAUUAAUAAAAGUAUCUUCAAAAACCA
rnacentral:lncRNA from 1 species